GCGCCCGGCUCCCGGCUGUCCCCGCCCGGCGUGCGGGCCGGUGUAUGGGCCCCGCACCAUGUCGCUGAAGCCCCAGCAGCAGCAGCAGCAGCCGUCCGCGGCCGCCAGUGCCCGCAAGCCCGGUGGCGGCGGCCUUCUCACGUCGCCCGCCGCCCCGCCGUCCUCGCCCUCGGUCUCGUCCUCGGCCCCGGCUUCCUCCUCCUCGGCGGCGGCGGCGGCGAGCGCAGGCAGCGGGCGGCCCGGCCUGGGCAGAGGUCGAAACAAUAACAAGGGACUGCCUCAGUCUACGAUUUCUUUUGAUGGAAUCUAUGCAAAUAUGAGGAUGGUUCAUAUACUUACAUCAGUUGUUGGAUCCAAAUGUGAAGUACAAGUGAAAAACGGAGGUAUAUAUGAAGGAGUUUUUAAAACAUACAGUCCUAAGUGUGAUUUGGUCCUUGAUGCUGCACAUGAGAAAAGUACAGAAUCCAGUUCAGGGCCAAAACGUGAAGAAAUAAUGGAGAGUAUUUUGUUUAAGUGUUCAGACUUCGUUGUGGUACAGUUUAAAGAUAUGGACUCCAGUUAUGCAAGAAGAGUUGCUUCAGAAACAGAUGCUUUUACUGACUCAGCUAUCAGUGCUAAAGUGAACGGUGAACACAAAGAGAAGGACCUAGAGCCCUGGGAUGCAGGAGACCUCACUACCAGUGAGGAGCUAGAAGCUUUGGAAAAUGACGUCUCUAAUGGAUGGGAUCCCAAUGAUAUGUUUCGAUAUAAUGAAGAAAAUUAUGGUGUAGUGUCUACAUAUGAUAGCAGUUUAUCUUCAUAUACGGUGCCCUUAGAAAGGGAUAAUUCAGAAGAAUUUUUAAAACGAGAAGCAAGAGCAAACCAAUUAGCAGAAGAAAUUGAAUCAAGUGCCCAGUACAAAGCCCGCGUAGCCCUGGAAAAUGAUGAUAGGAGCGAGGAAGAAAAAUACACAGCAGUUCAGAGAAAUUCCAGUGAACGUGAGGGUCACGGCAUAAACACUAGGGAAAAUAAAUAUAUUCCUCCUGGACAAAGAAAUAGAGAAGUCAUGUCCUGGGGAAGUGGGCGACAGAAUUCACCGCGUAUGGGCCAGCCUGGAUCGGGCUCCAUGGCAUCAAGAUCCACUUCUCACACGUCAGAUUUCAACCCGAAUUCCGGUUCAGACCAAAGAGUAGUUAAUGGAGGUGUUCCCUGGCCAUCGCCUUGCCCAUCUCCUUCCUCUCGCCCACCUUCUCGCUACCAGUCAGGUCCCAACUCUCUUCCACCUCGGGCAGCCACCCCUACACGGCCGCCCUCCAGGCCCCCCUCGCGGCCAUCCAGACCCCCGUCUCACCCCUCUGCUCAUGGUUCUCCAGCUCCUGUCUCUACUAUGCCUAAACGCAUGUCUUCAGAAGGGCCUCCAAGGAUGUCCCCAAAGGCCCAGCGACACCCUCGAAAUCACAGAGUUUCUGCUGGAAGGGGAUCCAUUUCCAGUGGAUUAGAAUUUGUAUCCCAUACUCCACCGAGUGAAGCAGUGGCUCCUCCAGCAGCAAGGACCAGUCCAGCGGGGGGCACGUGGUCAUCUGUGGUCAGCGGGGUUCCAAGAUUAUCCCCCAAAACUCACAGACCCAGGUCUCCCAGACAGAACAGUAUUGGAAAUACUCCUAGUGGACCAGUUCUUGCUUCUCCCCAAGCUGGUAUUAUUCCCACAGAAGCUGUUGCUAUGCCUGUUCCAGCUGCAUCUCCCACGCCUGCCAGUCCUGCAUCUAACAGAGCUGUCACCCCAUCUAUUGAGGCUAAGGAUUCCAGGCUUCAAGAUCAGAGGCAGAACUCUCCUGCAGGGAAUAAGGAAAACAUGAAGCCCAAUGAGACAUCACCCAGCUUCUCAAAAGUUGAAAAUAAAGGUAUAUCACCAGUUGUUUCCGAGCAUAGAAAACAGAUUGAUGACUUAAAGAAAUUUAAGAAUGAUUUUAGGUUACAGCCAAGUUCUACUUCUGAAUCUGUGGAUCAACUGCUAAACAAAAAUAGAGAGGGAGAAAAAUCAAGAGAUUUGAUCAAAGACAAAAUUGAACCAAAUGCUAAGGAUUCUUUCCUUGAAAAUAACAGCAGCAACUGCACCAGUUGCAGCAGCAAGCCGAACAGCCCCAGCAUUUCCCCCUCAAUCCUCAGUAACACGGAGCACAGGAGGGGGCCUGAGGUUACUUCCCAAGGAGUUCAGACUUCCAGCCCAGGAUGUAAACAAGAGAAAGAUGAUAAAGAGGAGAAAAAAGACGCAGCUGAGCAAGUGAGGAAAUCAACAUUGAAUCCCAAUGCAAAGGAAUUCAACCCUCGUUCUUUUUCUCAGCCAAAGCCUUCCACCACCCCAACUUCGCCUCGUCCUCAAGCACAACCUAGCCCAUCCAUGGUGGGUCAUCAGCAGCCAACUCCAGUUUAUACUCAGCCUGUUUGUUUUGCACCAAAUAUGAUGUAUCCAGUCCCAGUGAGCCCAGGCGUGCAACCUUUAUACCCUAUACCUAUGACACCCAUGCCAGUGAAUCAAGCCAAGACAUAUAGAGCAGGUAAAGUACCAAAUAUGCCCCAACAACGGCAAGACCAGCAUCAUCAGAGCACCAUGAUGCACCCCGCCUCAGCGGCAGGCCCACCCAUUGUGGCCACCCCACCAGCUUAUUCCACACAGUACGUGGCCUAUAGUCCUCAGCAGUUUCCAAAUCAGCCUCUUGUUCAGCACGUGCCCCAUUAUCAGUCUCAGCAUCCUCAUGUCUACAGUCCUGUAAUACAGGGCAAUGCCAGGAUGAUGGCACCAGCAGCACACGCCCAGCCGGGUCUCGUAUCUUCCUCAGCUGCUCAGUACGGGGCUCACGAGCAGACACAUGCGAUGUAUGCAUGUCCCAAAUUACCAUACAACAAGGAGACAAGCCCUUCUUUCUACUUUGCCAUUUCCACUGGCUCCCUUGCUCAGCAGUAUGCGCAUCCUAAUGCUACCCUGCACCCACAUACUCCACAUCCUCAGCCUUCAGCCACCCCCACUGGCCAGCAGCAAAGCCAACAUGGUGGAAGUCACCCUGCACCCAGUCCCGUCCAGCACCAUCAGCACCAAGCCACCCAGGCUCUCCACCUGGCGGGUCCACAGCAGCAAUCAGCCAUUUACCACGCGGGGCUCGCGCCAACCCCGCCGUCCAUGACACCUGCUUCCAACACGCAGUCGCCACAGAACAGUUUCCCAGCAGCACAGCAGACGGUCUUCACAAUCCACCCUUCUCACGUCCAGCCGGCGUACACCAACCCGCCCCACAUGGCCCACGUACCUCAGUACAAGCCCACCACCAACAGCAGUUGUAAGGCUGCCCUGGAGGAACCGAAAGGCCAAAUUCCCUCCUCCCUUCUACUGCUUCUACCAACUGGAAGCACAGAAAACUAGAAUUUCAUUUAUUUUGUUUUUUAAAAAUAUAUGUUGAUUUCUUGUAACAUCCAAUAGGAAUGCUAACAGUUCACUUGCAGUGGAAGAUAUUUGGACUGAGUAGAGGCAUUUAGGAACUUGUGGGCUGUUCCAAUUCCAUAUGCUGUUUCCGAGUCCCGCAAGUACCCCAGCUCUGCUUGCUCAAACUGGAAGUUAUUUAUUUUUAAUAACCCUUGAAAGUCAUGUAUACAUCAGCUAGCAAAAGUAACAAGAGUGAUUCUUGCUGCUAUUACUGCUAAAAAAAAAAAAAUCAAGACUUGGAACACCCUUUUACUAAACUUGACAAAGUUUCAGUAAGUUCUUACCGUCAAACUGACGGAUUAUUAUUUAUAAAUCAAGUUUGAUGAAGUGAUCACUGUCUACAGUGGUUCAACUUUUAAGUUAAGGGAAAAACUUUUACUUUGUAGAUAAUAUAAAAUAAAAACUUAAAAAAAAUUAAAAAAUAAAAAAAGUUUUAAAAACUGAUAUCCAGUUAGUGUGUGUUUGUAUAAGCUUCUAGUUAAUACCAAGGCAGGAAGGCUGUGUUUUCUUAAUAUCCUGGAAGGUUAGUUGUCAAAUGAUUUUUCUUCUUCACCUUUAGUUCUGGUUCAAGGUCUCUCUAGAAAAAGACAAGACUGAGAUAUUCUCUUUGGUGGAUAGAGGUCCGCUUCAGAAGGAGGAAGGCUGGCCAGAGUUGGGCAGCAUUGAUACUCCACAUCCUCAGCCUGACGCUGAUCCUAAAUGAUCAGAGGCAGAAGAUUUAUACCAGAUAAAGCCAUAUGGAUUGCUGGUCUAAAAUUCAAGGCAGGUUAGUUGACUUAAUUCUUUGGUGCUGGUGACUGUUAGUUUGUAAAAGUUCGUUAAAGUCAGAUUCAGGAGGUGACGGUGCUGAGCAGUCCCCUGGCUGUUGUCUGGUUGGAGAGAACUGCAGCGGUCGCGGUACUUACUGUCCCUUUGGCACUCACAGCCGGGCUUUCCGUGGAGGUGCUGGCUUGGCCUCUUGAGGCCAGCGGUGGUCACAUCAGGACUGGAAGGAGGGUGGCAUGUGCUGCCAUGCUGUGAGCUAGCUACAGCCAGCAGGGUCACUGUGAGGGCAUCAGCCCAGGGACCCACUGCUCCCUCUCCUCCAGCUCCACCUGCUCUAGCAGAAAGGAGGAGCCUGGCUUGGGUCACUCCUUCCCAGCUGUGGAGGGCUUUCUGUGGGGUGUGUUUGAGGUGUCCUGGUAACUCGGACAUGUUUGGAAAGGAAAUGUUUUCCUUGAACAUUUAUACUGGAGCAGCCUGGAGGUGGUGACUUGCAGCUCUCUUAGAAUCUGAGCUGGUACUUGGCAGCCAGUGGGUCAGAGCUGAGCCACUAGUUUGCUGCCUCUUGGUACGUACUACCUGAGACGUCUAUGCUGAGACUGCUUAGAAGUGGGUGCCCCUGGCUUGAAGAGGUCAUAGCCCAGAUGUGGAGGGAGGGGGUAUGCGUGGUUCAUUGUCUAUUUUGCCCUUUUUCUGCACCAGUGACUCGUCAGCAUGGACUUUGUGAUGAGCUUUAUCUU